rnacentral:rRNA from 1 species
CUGCUGCCUUCCGUAGGAGUCUGGGCCGUAUCUCAGUCCCAAUGUGGCCGGCCAACCUCUCAGUCCGGCUACUGAUCGUCGCCUUGGUGGGCCGUUACCUCACCAACUAGCUAAUCAGACGCGAGGCCAUCUUCCAGCGAUAAAUCUUUGACAUCAGUGCCAUGCGACACCAAUGCGUCAUGCGGUAUUAGCAGUCGUUUCCAACUGUUGUCCCCCUCUGGAAGGCAGGUUCCUCACGCG